rnacentral:lncRNA from 1 species
AUAAAAGCCAGCUUCAAGACCAGCUUGGCCAACGUGGUGAAACCCUAUGUCUACUGAAAAUACAAAAAAGGCAGGUGUGGCAGUGAGUGCCUGUGAUUCCAGCUUACUUGGGAGGCUGAGGCAGGAGAAUCCCUUGAACCUACGAAGCAGAGGUUGCAGUGAUCUGAGAUACUGCCACUGUACUCCAGCUGGGGCGACAGCAAGACUCAAAAAAGAAGUUAUUGGGAGAUGGAAGUAUUUUGCAUAUGUAGAUUUGCUUAUAAGUUAACUUUAAAAGUACUGGUUUGUGGGUGAUGUGUAAGGUAACGGAAUGGGAGAAUUACUGGAACACCAGGAAAGGAAUUUUAAAAGGUGGGAGUGAUGGGGUAACUGAAAGGAUGCUUUCAGUGCAUAGGUCUAUAUAAAUGCACAUUGAGCUGCAUAGACAGUCAUGGGAUCAAAUUUUAAGAGGAUGUGGAAGGUAAAAAAAGGCAUAGCUACCAAGGUGUGGAAAAAGAAUUAGUGGUUAGAGAGUGAGCUAUUCGUUGAAACAAUUGCGUUCUUGAAACAAUUCUUGCUGGUAAAAUGUCACAUUUUAUGUGACUACAGGUGGAGGAUUGGCACAUAACCUAACCAGUGGGGGAAACAAUUGACCUCUGGAUUUGUCCAAGUGUAUAGUAGCAUUUGCCCAAUCGAAUGGUCCUGGUAAGGUGUUAAUGUUGACUAGAACCAAAGGUGGAAGUUGCAGGGAAACUGGUUUAGUACAAGGGUGGACACCAGGCAGUCAUCCAGA